rnacentral:snRNA from 1 species
AUCGCUUCUUGGCCUUUGGGCUAAGAUCAAGUGUAGUAUCUGUUGGAACUGGCUUGAUUCUGACCUUGA